rnacentral:sRNA from 1 species
AGUCCCCGGGCGCCUCCUGGAGAGCAAGGACGCGGGGGAACAGAGAUGAUCCGAGCCGCGCCGCCGCCGCUGUUCCUGCUGCUGCUGCUGCUAGUGUCCUGGGCGUCCCGAGGCGAGGCAGCCCCCGACCAGGACGAGAUCCAGCGCCUCCCCGGGCUGGCCAAGCAGCCGUCUUUCCGCCAGUACUCCGGCUACCUCAAAGGCUCCGGCUCCAAGCACCUCCACUACUGGUUUGUGGAGUCCCAGAAGGAUCCCGAGAACAGCCCUGUGGUGCUUUGGCUCAAUGGGGGUCCCGGCUGCAGCUCCCUAGAUGGGCUCCUCACAGAGCAUGGCCCCUUCCUGGUCCAGCCAGAUGGUGUCACCCUGGAGUACAACCCCUAUUCUUGGAAUCUGGUAUAGCUGGAGCUGUGGGUGUGUCUGGGCACUUGGAUGGGGUGGCAUUUAGCUAAUUUUUCCCUCCCCUCUAGAUUGCCAAUGUGUUAUACCUGGAGUCCCCAGCUGGGGUGGGCUUCUCCUACUCCGAUGACAAGUUUUAUGCAACUAAUGACACUGAGGUCGCCCAGAGCAAUUUUGAGGCCCUUCAAGAUUUCUUCC